CCAGACUCCUACGGGAGGCAGCAGUGGGGGAUAUUGCACAAUGGGGGAAACCCUGAUGCAGCGACGCCGCGUGAGUGGAGGAGCGUUUCGGCGCGUAAAGCUCUAUCAGCAGGGAAGACAAACUGCCCCGGAAGGGGCAGCCGGACGGUACCUGACUAAGAAGCCCCGGCUAACUACGUGCCAGCAGCCGCGGUAAUACGUAGGGGGCAAGCGUUAUCCGGAUUUACUGGGUGUAAAGGGAGCGUAGACGGCAGUGCAAGUCUGAAGUGAAAGGCGGGGGCCCAACCCCCGGACUGCUUUGGAAACUGUGCUGCUGGAGUGCAGGAGAGGCAAGUGGAAUUCCUAGUGUAGCGGUGAAAUGCGUAGAUAUUAGGAGGAACACCAGUGGCGAAGGCGGCUUACUGGACUGUAACUGACGUUGAGGCUCGAAAGCGUGGGGAGCAAACAGGAUUAGAUACCCGAGUA
rnacentral:rRNA from 1 species